CAGUCGCCGCGGUAAUACGUAGGUGGCAAGCGUUGUCCGGAAUUAUUGGGCGUAAAGGGCUCGCAGGCGGUUUCUUAAGUCUGAUGUGAAAGCCCCCGGCUCAACCGGGGAGGGUCAUUGGAAACUGGGAAACUUGAGUGCAGAAGAGGAGAGUGGAAUUCCACGUGUAGCGGUGAAAUGCGUAGAGAUGUGGAGGAACACCAGUGGCGAAGGCGGCUUUUUGGCCUGUAACUGACACUGAGGCGCGAAAGCGUGGGGAGCAAACAGGAUUAGAUACCCGUGUAGUCCCUGUCUCUUAUAC
rnacentral:rRNA from 1 species